rnacentral:rRNA from 1 species
UACAGAGGGGGCAAGCGUUGUUCGGAAUCACUGGGCGUAAAGCGCGCGCAGGCGGUCAUCUACGUCUGGGGUGAAAGCCCGGAGCUCAACUCCGGGAUUGCCUUGGAUACGGUAUGACUUGAGGAUCGGAGAGGCAAGGGGAAUUCCACGUGUAGCGGUGAAAUGCGUAGAUAUCUGGAGGAACACCGGUGGCGAAGGCGGCAUCCUGGACCAUUACUGACACUGAAAAGCGAAAGCCAGGGGAGCAAACGGG